UCUUCCAGGAUGUCCUCGACACUCAGGACGUUUACUCAAAGCACAGCUGCUUGGUUUUUCCUCUUUCAUUUCAAAACAACUUUUGAAUGGAAAACUCUCACAGCUGCUGCGUCAGAGAGUUUCAGACCACAACAUUUCAGAUUUGUCACCUAAUCGACAGUCAAAAUGUUCUGAAACGCUGGAGGCCUAAGCUGAGAAGCUGUUAUGUUCAGGGUCAUGGAGGACGGACUGCUGGUCAGGACCAACCUGUCAGAGCUUCAUUGGCUGUGGCUUCUAUGUUCUUCAUCCCCAUCUGUUGCUCUGCAUGAGCUUAACCAAAGCGCUCGGUUUGCCUAAACCAAACCACAGACGGGAUGCAAACUCUGGAUUGUGAUGUGCCAUCCACCUCCACCGACUCCAGCACGAUUUAUCGUUCACGAGCUGCUGUGAUGGCGUGUCGCUUCGACGUGACGAGAGGUCAGCAGCACAGGUGACAUUCGGAGGAUUGGAUUAGUUUUUGUGGAUCUGCCUCUCACACAUGAAGCUGUUGAAACAACUUCUCUUUCUUUGCUGUAAUGGAUCUACGGAGGAGCUGAGUGCCCUUUACGAAACCUUCCUUUACACUCAGAUAAUCCCCCUCCAAACAGCUGCUAUAUUAAAUGUUUUCCCUCCGAAUGCCUGGGAGUAAUUUUGGAUUAUCCCACUUUAACUUGUGCACUGAACUCUUGUAGCUUUUAAAAUGUAGCCACAAACUUGUGGCCCACUUCAGCUCCUCGGUGUGAUGAAGCAUGUCAGACAUUAGUGUUCACUGAUUAGCUCGGUGCUUGAGUCCUGACCUAAUUGUCUGAAGUGGAACUCUUGAAUUGCAGACCUUUUGACUGUAAUCCACAACGUUGCACUGGGAUUUUUUUAUUGAUCCAAAGCAAACAUGAGUAUUUGAUUGAAAGUUCCAGUCAGCUAUCAUUUCUCAGUAUUACCACACAGGAUCAAAUAACAAUUUUAACUUCAGAGCCCUUCAACUGUUGAAGAACCGACACCGUACCUUCCCUGUAGGAACGUUUAUUUUUAUGUUUCUCUCAGUUUCUAAUCUUUCAGCUCACUUGAACCAGAAGACAUAAUUACAGUCUGUAUCUUCACCUUUUUAAAAUAUCUUGAAUGAAUUUCCAGCGAUAUGACUGGCCUGGCUCUUUGUUUAAGGUUGUUUUCCUGCUCCUUCAGUCUGUUAUUUCUUGGAUGGAACUGAAACGAGAUGAGGCAGGAUUGUUUUUAAGUUUCCAGUUAUGACUUUCCCUAAAUGGCUUUGUGGUGGAGAGGCAGAUAAAUGCUGUGGUUCCAUCCUUAUGUCUGUUAAAUGUAAGGGUACAUUGUGCACUCAUGAACAGUAAACAGGACCCCAUCUGAAGGCAGCAGGGAUUUGGA